GUGUCAGCAGCCGCGGUAAUACAGAGGGGGCAAGCGUUGUUCGGAAUUACUGGGCGUAAAGGGCGCGUAGGCGGCCCUCUAAGUCGAACGUGAAAUCCCUGGGCUCAACCCAGGAACUGCGUCCGAGACUGGGGGGCUAGAAUCCGGGAGAGGGAUGUGGAAUUCCAGGUGUAGCGGUGAAAUGCGUAGAUAUCUGGAGGAACAUCGGUGGCGAAGGCGGCAUCCUGGACCGGUAUUGACGCUGAGGCGCGAAAGCCAGGGGAGCAAACGGGAUUAGAAACCCUCGUAGUCC
rnacentral:rRNA from 1 species